rnacentral:rRNA from 1 species
AUUGAACGCUAGCGGGAUGCCUUACACAUGCAAGACGAACGGAGUGGCGAACGGGUGAGUAAUGUAUCGGAACGUGCCCAGUAGCGGGGGAUAACUACGCGAAAGCGUAGCUAAUAACGCAUACACUGGGAGCUGGCGAUAUCGGAUUAGAUAGGUGGAGGGGUAACGGCUCACCAAGUCGACCAUCCGUAGCUGGUUUGAGAGGAUGACAAGCCACACUGGCACUGAGACACGGCCCAGACUCCUACGGGAGUCAUCAGUGGGGAAUUUUGGACAAUGGGGGAAACCCUGAUCCAGCCGUCCCGCGUGUGCGAUGAAGGCCUUCGGGUUGUAAAGCACUGUUGGCAGGAAAGCGGUACCUGCAGAAUAAGCACCGGCUAACUACGUGCCAGCAGCCGCGGUAAUAC